AUUGAACGCUGGCGGCAUGCCUUACACAUGCAAGUCGAACGGCAGCGGACCUUCGGGUGCUGGCGAGUGGCGAACGGGUGAGUAAUAUAUCGGAACGUACCUUUCAGUGGGGGAUAACGUAGCGAAAGUUACGCUAAUACCGCAUAUUCUGUGAGCAGGAAAGCAGGGGAUCGCAAGACCUUGCGCUGAUUGAGCGGCCGAUAUCAGAUUAGCUAGUUGGUGAGGUAAAGGCUCACCAAGGCGACGAUCUGUAGCGGGUCUGAGAGGAUGAUCCGCCACACUGGAACUGAGACACGGUCCAGACUCCUACGGGAGGCAGCAGUGGGGAAUUUUGGACAAUGGGCGCAAGCCUGAUCCAGCCAUGCCGCGUGAGUGAAGAAGGCCUU
rnacentral:rRNA from 1 species